GGGUUGUGAGGUUAAGCGACUAAGCGUACACGGUGGAUGCCCUGGCAGUCAGAGGCGAUGAAGGACGUGCUAAUCUGCGAUAAGCGUCGGUAAGGUGAUAUGAACCGUUAUAACCGGCGAUUUCCGAAUGGGGAAACCCAGUGUGAUUCGUCACACUAUCAUUAACUGAAUCCAUAGGUUAAUGAGGCGAACCGGGGGAACUGAAACAUCUAAGUACCCCGAGGAAAAGAAAUCAACCGAGAUUCCCCCAGUAGCGGCGAGCGAACGGGGAGCAGCCCAGAGCCUGAAUCAGUGUGUGUGUUAGUGGAAGCGUCUGGAAAGGCGCGCGAUACAGGGUGACAGCCCCGUACACAAAAAUGCACAUGCUGUGAGCUCGAUGAGUAGGGCGGGACACGUGGUAUCCUGUCUGAAUAUGGGGGGACCAUCCUCCAAGGCUAAAUACUCCUGACUGACCGAUAGUGAACCAGUACCGUGAGGGAAAGGCGAAAAGAACCCCGGCGAGGGGAGUGAAAAAGAACCUGAAACCGUGUACGUACAAGCAGUGGGAGCACGCUUAGGCGUGUGACUGCGUACCUUUUGUAUAAUGGGUCAGCGACUUAUAUUCUGUAGCAAGGUUAACCGAAUAGGGGAGCCGAAGGGAAACCGAGUCUUAACUGGGCGUUAAGUUGCAGGGUAUAGACCCGAAACCCGGUGAUCUAGCCAUGGGCAGGUUGAAGGUUGGGUAACACUAACUGGAGGACCGAACCGACUAAUGUUGAAAAAUUAGCGGAUGACUUGUGGCUGGGGGUGAAAGGCCAAUCAAACCGGGAGAUAGCUGGUUCUCCCCGAAAGCUAUUUAGGUAGCGCCUCGUGAAUUCAUCUCCGGGGGUAGAGCACUGUUUCGGCAAGGGGGUCAUCCCGACUUACCAACCCGAUGCAAACUGCGAAUACCGGAGAAUGUUAUCACGGGAGACACACGGCGGGUGCUAACGUCCGUCGUGAAGAGGGAAACAACCCAGACCGCCAGCUAAGGUCCCAAAGUCAUGGUUAAGUGGGAAACGAUGUGGGAAGGCCCAGACAGCCAGGAUGUUGGCUUAGAAGCAGCCAUCAUUUAAAGAAAGCGUAAUAGCUCACUGGUCGAGUCGGCCUGCGCGGAAGAUGUAACGGGGCUAAACCAUGCACCGAAGCUGCGGCAGCGACGCUUAUGCGUUGUUGGGUAGGGGAGCGUUCUGUAAGCCUGUGAAGGUGUGCUGUGAGGCAUGCUGGAGGUAUCAGAAGUGCGAAUGCUGACAUAAGUAACGAUAAAGCGGGUGAAAAGCCCGCUCGCCGGAAGACCAAGGGUUCCUGUCCAACGUUAAUCGGGGCAGGGUGAGUCGACCCCUAAGGCGAGGCCGAAAGGCGUAGUCGAUGGGAAACAGGUUAAUAUUCCUGUACUUGGUGUUACUGCGAAGGGGGGACGGAGAAGGCUAUGUUGGCCGGGCGACGGUUGUCCCGGUUUAAGCGUGUAGGCUGGUUUUCCAGGCAAAUCCGGAAAAUCAAGGCUGAGGCGUGAUGACGAGGCACUACGGUGCUGAAGCAACAAAUGCCCUGCUUCCAGGAAAAGCCUCUAAGCAUCAGGUAACAUCAAAUCGUACCCCAAACCGACACAGGUGGUCAGGUAGAGAAUACCAAGGCGCUUGAGAGAACUCGGGUGAAGGAACUAGGCAAAAUGGUGCCGUAACUUCGGGAGAAGGCACGCUGAUAUGUAGGUGAAGUCCCUCGCGGAUGGAGCUGAAAUCAGUCGAAGAUACCAGCUGGCUGCAACUGUUUAUUAAAAACACAGCACUGUGCAAACACGAAAGUGGACGUAUACGGUGUGACGCCUGCCCGGUGCCGGAAGGUUAAUUGAUGGGGUCAGCGCAAGCGAAGCUCUUGAUCGAAGCCCCGGUAAACGGCGGCCGUAACUAUAACGGUCCUAAGGUAGCGAAAUUCCUUGUCGGGUAAGUUCCGACCUGCACGAAUGGCGUAAUGAUGGCCAGGCUGUCUCCACCCGAGACUCAGUGAAAUUGAACUCGCUGUGAAGAUGCAGUGUACCCGCGGCAAGACGGAAAGACCCCGUGAACCUUUACUAUAGCUUGACACUGAACAUUGAGCCUUGAUGUGUAGGAUAGGUGGGAGGCUUUGAAGUGUGGACGCCAGUCUGCAUGGAGCCGACCUUGAAAUACCACCCUUUAAUGUUUGAUGUUCUAACGUUGACCCGUAAUCCGGGUUGCGGACAGUGUCUGGUGGGUAGUUUGACUGGGGCGGUCUCCUCCUAAAGAGUAACGGAGGAGCACGAAGGUUGGCUAAUCCUGGUCGGACAUCAGGAGGUUAGUGCAAUGGCAUAAGCCAGCUUGACUGCGAGCGUGACGGCGCGAGCAGGUGCGAAAGCAGGUCAUAGUGAUCCGGUGGUUCUGAAUGGAAGGGCCAUCGCUCAACGGAUAAAAGGUACUCCGGGGAUAACAGGCUGAUACCGCCCAAGAGUUCAUAUCGACGGCGGUGUUUGGCACCUCGAUGUCGGCUCAUCACAUCCUGGGGCUGAAGUAGGUCCCAAGGGUAUGGCUGUUCGCCAUUUAAAGUGGUACGCGAGCUGGGUUUAGAACGUCGUGAGACAGUUCGGUCCCUAUCUGCCGUGGGCGCUGGAGAACUGAGGGGGGCUGCUCCUAGUACGAGAGGACCGGAGUGGACGCAUCACUGGUGUUCGGGUUGUCAUGCCAAUGGCACUGCCCGGUAGCUAAAUGCGGAAGAGAUAAGUGCUGAAAGCAUCUAAGCACGAAACUUGCCCCGAGAUGAGUUCUCCCUGACUCCUUGAGAGUCCUGAAGGAACGUUGAAGACGACGACGUUGAUAGGCCGGGUGUGUAAGCGCAGCGAUGCGUUGAGCUAACCGGUACUAAUGAACCGUGAGGCUUAACCUUACAACGCCGAAG
rnacentral:rRNA from 2 species